rnacentral:lncRNA from 1 species
UACAUGGGCGAAGAGUGACAAAACCUCGUCCCAACAAAACAAUAGACUCCCGCAGGUACCGAAUGACAGUAGGUAUAAGGGAGCAGAAGAGAUGUACCAAACGGACACAAAUACAAUACAAAACAAAACGUUGAACGACGGAAAGAAGAAAACAAUGUAACACAGAAAGAUUAUAACAAUAACUCUGAAAAAAGAAGAGAAACAUACAGAAACAAAACUGCAACAGUACUAACGCCAAGGAAAACGUGACAAAACCAACGCAAAA